GCCAGACUCCUACGGGAGGCAGCAGUGGGGAAUAUUGGGCAAUGGGCGCAAGCCUGACCCAGCAAUGCCGCGUGAAGGAAGGAGGCUUUCGGGUUGUAAACUUCUUUGACAGGGGAAGAGCAGAAGACGGUACCCUGAAAACAAGCCACGGCUAACUACGUGCCAGCAGCCGCGGUAAUACGUAGGUGGCAAGCGUUAUCCGGAUUUACUGGGUGUAAAGGGCGUGUAGGCGGGAAAGCAAGUCAGAUGUGAAAACCACGGGCUCAACCUGUGGCCUGCAUUUGAAACUGUUUUUCUUGAGUACUGGAGAGGCAGACGGAAUUCCUAGUGUAGCGGUGAAAUGCGUAGAUAUUAGGAGGAACACCAGUGGCGAAGGCGGUCUGCUGGACAGCAACUGACGCUGAGGCGCGAAAGCGUGGGGAGCAAACAGGAUUAGAUACCCCGGUACAA
rnacentral:rRNA from 1 species